UGUUCCGCUUCUAAUUCUUGCCUGCCUGUGUGGUGAAGCUCCUCCAAUGCAGGUCUGAGAUGUCCCGGAAUUUGCACCAACAAAUUCCUCAAAGAAGCCAUUUACACACGUAAUAGACCUGCCCUAUUACGUAAGCAUACAGUUACUCACUGAACAUUGGAGAUUACAUUAUUGAUUGGAUUUGCCAGAUCAAUGGAAGAGUAUCCAGAUUUUUACGUCCUAAUAUUUAUUCAGAGAUUUUUGAAGAUGAAUUUUUUUUUUUUAAAUCACCUGUGGGUUUUUUUUUUUCAAUUGAAAAAUCUGUAAACCCAAAAUAUUGCCCAUUAGUUUGAACUUAAAAUGCUCCAGCUUCAAGCACUCAAGCUUCAUUUUAAACAAAGACAUAGAUAAGUUUGACCUCGAAAGGACAGUUUCUGUUAAGACAUGCCCAGCCAGGAGGAGUCAACAAUGCUACCCAGAGUCUGCCCUGGAGAAAUUGAAACUGUUUUCUGGGGCUUUAAUAUUUCGUCCUUCGAGAAGUUUUCCUGAUACUAUAUUUAUAUUUUCCUUUUUUCCUUAAUGGGGAAAACACCUGCUGAUUUGCUUUGUUUUGCCACUUUCUUGUAUCUUAACACGCUACAAAACCUCUUGCUUGAAAUGAAAGAAACCCAACUUUUGAAUAUUUUCAAAUCUUUACUGAGAUUUUCCCCUUUUCUUAAUUAAAGCAAGCUCUUUAGUAGAAUAUUCUCCAUAAUGUAGAAAAGGCAGAGGGGGACUCUGGAAGGUAGAGAAGGACAGCUGUUU
rnacentral:lncRNA from 1 species